CCUACGGGAGGCAGCAGUGAGGAAUAUUGGUCAAUGGACGCAAGUCUGAACCAGCCAUGUCGCGUGCAGGAAGACUGCCCUAUGAGUUGUAAACUGCUUUUAUAUGGGAAUAAAUCCGGAUACGUGUAUCCGCUUGUAAGUAUCGUACGAAUAAGGAUCGGCUAACUCCGUGCCAGCAGCCGCGGUAAUACGGAGGAUUCAAGCGUUAUCCGGAUUUAUUGGGUUUAAAGGGUGCGUAGGCGGUUUGAUAAGUCAGAGGUGAAAGUUCGGGGCUCAACUGUAGAAUUGCCGCUGAAACUGGCAGGCUAGAGUUCAGUAGAGGUAGGCGGAAUGCGUGGUGUAGCGGUGAAAUGCUUAGAUAUCAUACAGAACUCCGAUUGCGAAGGCAGCUUACCGAACUACGACUGACGUUGAGGCACGAAAGCGUGGGGAGCAAACAGGAUUAGAUACCCGUGUAGUC
rnacentral:rRNA from 1 species